AGAGCAGUGGGUAGCCUUAUCCCUGUGGGAUCCUGCCCAGCAGAGGCGUACUCUGAGGGCCCCAGCCCGCAGCCAUGCUGGCAUGUGGUUCCCAAGUCAGAGCUGUCUGCCCUGGGCUGCCACUCCAGCAGGGCUGAUGGACGAGGAGCACAGAGCAGUUUGUGAGGUGCCCAAGGUGGCACGUGCCCUGGCCUGGGUCUGGGGGUGCGACCAGCAAAAUCCCAAAUGAGGUAAAUGGCAUCAGACUUCCUCAAAAACAAAGUCAAAGGAAGAAGAAAAGAGGAAGGGAGCCAUAGGUGAAGAGACCAGAGAAACAUCGGCCAGCGGCAUCCUGUGGGCCUUGCUUGGAUCUUGGUUCAGGCGAACUAAAGCCCCUGUGAACAUGGGGAUGCCGAGCUGCCUUCGCUUCUCAGGUGUGACAGCAGCGUCAGGCUGUUUAAGAAGAAAGGCUCUGGCAGUCUCACCCUGAGGUGCCUGUGGUGGCCUGCUGAGCUGGCAGGUGCAGCCUGCGGCCUGGGACAGGUGGCUGAGGCCUCACCCUGUGGAGGCCCGUGUGAGGGCGGGCCCAGGUCGGGGAGAGGCCUCACCCAACAGGCAUCAGCUGCGACCGUGUGCGCUCUGUGCUGAGAUGUGCGACUUGUCUUCAACCACACUGAGAGUGAGUUGGGGUCAGGACCCAGAGGGGAGCAACCUCUUGGGAGGUUCCAGAAAGGAGGUGCUGGUGGCUGAGGCCCAGGUUGGGCACAGAGAUGUGCCUGCAGCAAGGUGGCCUCCUGUGGGGGCAUGGUUGCUGGGAACUGCCCACCCAGCUGGCCACAGCACAUUGUCCCCAUUCCACAGGGCUCGUCUUGGUAUACACCCCUGGGUUUGGACAAAUGUGUAAUGACCCGUAUCCAUCGUUGAAGCGCCAUGAAGAAGUUCCGCUGCUCUACAGAUCCCCGGGGCCCCUCCUGUGCGUCCCUUCCUCCCCUCAUCCCCGGGCCUUCACGGUCUCCAUACUGUCGCCUUUUCCAGAGUGUCACGGAGGGGCUCACAGCGCGUGGCCUUCCCAGGUCGGCUUCUCCCCCGUGGUCCUGUGCGUGGGAGGGCCCUCGUGUGUUCUCCUGGCCCGAUGGCGCGUCUCUCUUUGGUGCCGAGUAACACCCAUCGCCUGGAUGGUCCACAGUCUGUCCGUCACCCGUGAAGGACGCCUUGGUUGCUUCCAGGUUUGGGCCGUUACGGAUAAAUCUGCUGUAAACAUCCGCGUAUGGGGUUUUGUGUGGACAUAAGUUAUCAAUUUCUUUGGGUAAAUAACCAAGGGGUGGGAUUGCUGAGUUGUUGGUAAGAGUAUGUUUAUUUUAAGAAACCUCCAAACUGUCUUCCGACGCAGCUACGCCACCUGCGUUCCCGCCCAUGGCGAGUGGGGGUCCCUGCCACGCCUCGUCUUCUUCAGCAUUCCGGGUGUCAGUGUUCUGGAUUUGGGCCACUCUCAUAGGUACAGUGCGGUGGGAUCUCAUGGGUGUAUUCUUUACAUGUAUUUUUAAACAGCUGCUGUGAUGUGUUUUUACGAAAAUAAGCAGAUUAAAAUCCCCUAUACUUUAA